ensembl:lncRNA
GUCUGGCUAGUCCAACAAUGACUGUCUACCAAAGGAAAGUACAAGAAUACACUAGUUGUUCAGUCCAUGAGGCUGGAUGUUUCGGUUGGUCUUCAGUAUGUGCCAGAACUCAGAAGUAGUCACUAAUCCCAGUGAAGGAAUGGAGUUGCUAGUAAGAGCUAAAGUAAGCAAAGAGCAAGCAAGUGCUUUCUUCUUCCGCAUCAUUUACAAAGGCUGCCAUGAAAAAGUGUGGCCCAGAUUUAGGUUUUCCCACCUCAAAAGAUCCAGAAAUGGGUUUAAUUAAAAAUCCCUCACAGGUGUACCCAGCCACUUCAUUUUAGUUCAUUCUCGACAUAGUCAUGUUGACAACCAAGAAUUCAGUCACAAGUCUGUCCCUCCUAACACUGCUAUUCCUUUCUUAGCUUGCUGGCUUAAGGGUAUCAGAAACCCAACAUGGCCAGGGGAAGUCUGAGCUUCUAGUUCAGUGGGAUGUUUGCUGUAUCUCUUGGCAGGAGCACUCCCUGCUCUGGAACCAGAACUUCUAGGCCAGCAGAACUUAAGGCUGUGGGAACAGGAAACAAAAUGACACUAAGGCUAUUGGUUGCUCUCCACAAGCUGACAGUAAGACCCUAUUGAGAGGGAGAGGUGGACACCCUGAGUUCCCAUCUCUGUCCAAGAAGAACUCCAACUGACAACGACUUGCAAAGGAAAAAUUAGUUUUCUCUAAUGGAGUCUCACUGGAUAUAUAAACCAUACCCAAGGGCAGACCCCAUUCCCAGCAAUAGAAGGCCAACACAAAACAAACUCAGUGGUAUUUGCAGACAGAGACCAUUCCAGAAGUCCACAGUUGGCCAAAAUGUAGAGAACAAGUGACCGUGUGGUAUCCAACACAAACUGAUACAUCUACCACACAACCCGACAUCCAAGGCUCAAGGAACAACAGGGAAACUGCAGUAUAAAGACUGUCAAAACCAGAGAACUCAAACAUCUGCUAUGAGGUCCUAUCUUCUAUGUAUUACCAUGAAAUUUCAACAAUAUGGUCACCCAAAUGAGACCUGCACAAAAACAACAUCUGUUGGCAUGCCAACAUGGAUGGAAAUAUCACUAUGUCACACCCCUAGAUGAAAGACUACAAGGAAUUAGUAGAAGCUGAGAAUGGGACAAUCAACCUUCUCUAGGGACAAGCUCUGUAAUAGGUUACCCAAUCCCAGUGGUCUGUCCUAAACACUAAGUGUCAUCAGGUUAUAUUUAUGUAUGUGAAAUAAUAACUAAAGGUUAAGUAUUUGAGAUGGAGUCAUGGAGACAUGGAAAGAGUUGGAGGAGAAAAUGAGGUGUGUUAAUGAUGUAAAUACAGCACUCCUGGAUGAAAUUCUAAAAAAAAAAUUAAUUUAAAAAAGAAAAUGUCAAGUUGUAACAUUCUUUCAAUUUUAGUGUGACUUUUGGUAUAAAAGAUAGCAGACUAGAGAUAGAACUGUAGAUCUUAGGAUCGGUGGGACAUUAUACAAUGAGUCUAUACUUUUAAGUAGGAAAACAAUGUAAUACAUGAGGGCAAAACCAUGCCUGCAAGCCCUUAUUCAGCACAUUGUCUAUCCCAUUUCAUUAAAUCCAUAAAUACAUAGAUAGGCAGCUAAACACAUUGCUAUUUUGUGAUUAAGUUAUAUCUUAUAUUAAAAAGUGUGGUCCUCACUAACAUAUCCCAAGGUUUUUUUUUUUUUUUUUUUUUUUGAGCUCAGAAUGUAGCCUCC